UGAGGAAUAUUGCGCAAUGGGGGCAACCCUGACGCAGCAACGCCGCGUGAGUGAGGAAGGUUUUCGGACCGUAAAGCUCUGUCGAGCGGGAAGAAAUGUAUCGUGGCUAAUAUCCAUGAUAUUUGACGGUACCGCUAAAGGAAGCACCGGCUAACUCCGUGCCAGCAGCCGCGGUAAUACGGGGGGUGCAAGCGUUGUUCGGAAUUAUUGGGCGUAAAGAGCGUGUAGGCGGCUGAAAAAGUGAGAUGUGAAAUCCCUGGGCUUAACCCCGGAAGUGCAUUUUAAACUAUUCAGCUUGAGUAGGGGAGAGGAAAGUGGAAUUCCUGGUGUAGAGGUUAAAUUCGUAGAUAUCAGGAGGAACACCGGUGGCGAAGGCGACUUUCUGGCCCUAUACUGACGCUGAGACGCGAGAGCGUGGGUAGCAAACA
rnacentral:rRNA from 1 species